rnacentral:rRNA from 1 species
UGUAAGCGUAUACCAAAGUUGUUGCAGUUAAAACGCUCGUAGUCGGAAUUUGGCAGUUCCGGAUGUGUGCACGUCGUGUGCGCACUUCGCGGGGAUUGCUUUUGUGGUCUUGCGUAGGAUGAGGCACUUUUAUUAGUGAACGUCCUCACGCAACCACUUUUUACUGUGAGAAAAUCAGAGUGCUCAAAGCAGGCAUUUGCCGUGAAUGUAUUAGCAUGGAAUAAUAGAAUAGGACUUGGUUCUAUUUUGUUGGUUUGUUGGGACUGAGUAAUGAUUAAGAGGGACAGUUGGGGGCAUUUGUAUUUCGGCGCUAGAGGUGAAAUUCUUAGAUUGCCGAAAGACAAACUGCUGCGAAAGCGUCUGCCAAGGAUGUUUUCAUUGAC